rnacentral:misc_RNA from 1 species
UUUCCGUAGGUGAACCUGCGGAAGGAUCAUUAUUGUAUAACCGAGGUGCGAGGGCUGUCGCUGACCCGAAAGGUCGUGCACGCCCGAGUGCCCUCACACACAUCCAUCUCACCCCUAUGGGCACCACCGCGUGGGUCCCCCUUUGGCUUGUUCGGAGGGGGGCUUACGUUUUCACACAAACUUUGUAUGCAGUGUAGAAUGUAUUUUUUGUUUUUGCGAUCACGCAAUCAAUACAACUUUCAACAACGGAUCUCUUGGCUCUC